rnacentral:rRNA from 1 species
UGCAGUCGAGCGGGGUGGUAGCUUGCUCUUACCUAGCGGCGGACGGGUGAGUAAUGCUUAGGAAUCUGCCUAUUAGUGGGGGACAACAUUCCGAAAGGAAUGCUAAUACCGCAUACGCCCUACGGGGGAAAGCAGGGGAUCUUCGACCUUGCGCUAAUAGAUGAGCCUAAGUCAGAUUAGCUAGUUGGUGGGGUAAAGGCCUACCAAGGCGACGAUCUGUAGCGGGUCUGAGAGGAUGAUCCGCCACACUGGGACUGAGACACGGCCCAGACUCCUACGGGAGGCAGCAGUGGGGAAUAUUGGACAAUGGGCGAAAGCCUGAUCCAGCCAUGCCGCGUGUGUGAAGAAGGCCUUUUGGUUGUAAAGCACUUUAAGCGAGGAGGAGGCUACCGAGAUUAAUACUCUUGGAUAGUGGACGUUACUCGCAGAAUAAGCACCGGCUAACUCUGUGCCAGCAGCCGCGGUAAUACAGAGGGUGCGAGCGUUAAUCGGAUUUACUGGGCGUAAAGCGUGCGUAGGCGGCUUUUUAAGUCGGAUGUGAAAUCCCUGAGCUUAACUUAGGAAUUGCAUUCGAUACUGGGAAGCUAGAGUAUGGGAGAGGAUGGUAGAAUUCCAGGUGUAGCGGUGAAAUGCGUAGAGAUCUGGAGGAAUACCGAUGGCGAAGGCAGCCAUCUGGCCUAAUACUGACGCUGAGGUACGAAAGCAUGGGGAGCAAACAGGAUUAGAUACCCUGGUAGUCCAUGCCGUAAACGAUGUCUACUAGCCGUUGGGGCCUUUGAGGCUUUAGUGGCGCAGCUAACGCGAUAAGUAGACCGCCUGGGGAGUACGGUCGCAAGACUAAAACUCAAAUGAAUUGACGGGGGCCCGCACAAGCGGUGGAGC